CCUACGGGUGGCAGCAGUGAGGAAUAUUGGUCAAUGGGCGCGAGCCUGAACCAGCCAAGUCGCGUGAGGGAAGACGGUCCUAUGGAUUGUAAACCUCUUUUGUCGGGGAGCAAAAGACGCCACGCGUGGCGUUCCGAGAGUACCCGAAGAAAAAGCAUCGGCUAACUCCGUGCCAGCAGCCGCGGUAAUACGGAGGAUGCGAGAGUUAUCCGGCUUUAUUGGGGUUAAAGGGUGCGCAGGCGGAAGAUCAAGUCAGCGGUAAAAUUGAGAGGCUCAACCUCUUCGAGCCGUUGAAACUGGUGUUCUUGAGUGAGUGAGAAGUAUGCGGAAUGCGUGGUGUAGCGGUGAAAUGCAUAGAUAUCACGCAGAACUCCGAUUGCGAAGGCAGCAUACCGGCGCUCAACUGACGCUCAUGCACGAAAGUGUGGGUAUCGAACAGGAUUAGAUACCCGGGUAGUC
rnacentral:rRNA from 1 species